rnacentral:piRNA from 1 species
UGAGAAGGUGUGAUGCAACUCUUGCUCA